rnacentral:rRNA from 1 species
GACGAACGCUGGCGGCGUGCCUAAUACAUGCAAGUAGAACGCUGAAGAGAGGAGCUUGCUCUUCUUGGAUGAGUUGCGAACGGGUGAGUAACGCGUAGGUAACCUGCCUUGUAGCGGGGGAUAACUAUUGGAAACGAUAGCUAAUACCGCAUAACAAUGGAUGACACAUGUCAUUUAUUUGAAAGGGGCAAUUGCUCCACUACAAGAUGGACCUGCGUUGUAUUAGCUAGUAGGUGAGGUAAUGGCUCACCUAGGCGACGAUACAUAGCCGACCUGAGAGGGUGAUCGGCCACACUGGGACUGAGACACGACCCAGACUCCUACGGGAGGCAGCAGUAGGGAAUCUUCGGCAAUGGGGGCAACCCUGACCGAGCAACGCCGCGUGAGUGAAGAAGGUUUUCGGAUCGUAAAGCUCUGUUGUAAGUCAAGAACGGGUGUGAGAGUGGAAAGUUCACACUGUGACGGUAGCUUACCAGAAAGGGACGGCUAACUACGUG